ACAUAAAUAAGAUACCACUAUGUCUCUUUUGGUUUCCUUCUGGCCCUUUUUAAUGUAGCAAUAACUUAUUUUUACAUCUUGUAAGGACAUGUGCCAUGUGGAAAUCAUCAUAAAGUCGAUGAUGAUGCAUCGAAACUUUUAUGGCUAUAUUAUAAUUUCUCAUGUGUUGAUAGGCUCCUUGCUCGUGAGGGGAUAAAUGCAGAGCAACUUGCAAGGGACCUGAAGUCAUUUGAAUUGAAGAGACGUCAGUUCCAAUCAGUUGAAUGGAUCAAUUCCUAGCAACAAGCUUUCCAACAACCUCACAACCAUUGAUUUAUCGAACAACAAGCUUACUGGAACUAUUCCAUCCUACUUUUCUAGUCUUCCUGUUCUUCAAAGAUUGUCACUUGAAAACAAUUUAUUGAAAGGGAGUUGCAAAACAAUAGCCUUACAAGCAUAUCAGGCACUACUGAUAUUCCUCCAAAUGUCACACUCUCGCUCAAUGGAAAUCCUCUCUGCUCAAAUAACAAGUCCUUGGUUCAAUUCUGUGGAUCUGAGACUGCUGACAAUAACACAAAUGGCAUUGUUUCAACAAAUUCCAGCUCAUGCGUGCCCUCCUCCUUUCGAAUAUUCCUUGGACUGUUUCUGUGCAGCACCAUUGCUUGCCGGUUAUCGGCUGAAAAGUCCUGGAUUUUUGGAUUUUCGACCAUAUCGCUAUCCUACCAUUUUUCCAAUUCCAAUAGGGGGAUCACAAAAAAUUGUUAAAAAGGACAAGAGAGAGUUUCUUGUGUUGAAGAGUUGCUUGUGAAGUAAUUGCUGAAGUUGAAUACUAUUUGAGGUUGAAGGUGAAGCGAAGUUGCGGAGAAAAGUUGAGGAUUAAGUUACAAGUACAAUUGUUAGCUUUACAUAUUUGGAUUAAUUUACAAUUUUUUGAAUUUACAUUUUAUGGAUUAUGACUAUGUAAAAUUUGUCGAAUUCAACUUUUGAAAUACAU